rnacentral:rRNA from 1 species
CAUGCUAGUCGCACGAGUUCAGACUCGUGGCGAAUAGCUCAGUAACACGUGGCCAAACUACCCUUCGGAACACAAUACCCUCGGGAAACUGAGGCUAAUAGUGUAUACCAUACCACCACUGGAAUGAGUGGUAUGCCAAACGCUCCGGCGCCGAAGGAUGUGGCUGCGGCCGAUUAGGUAGACGGUGGGGUAACGGCCCACCGUGCCAAUAAUCGGUAUGGGUCAUGAGAGUGAGAACCCAGAGACGGAAUCUGAGACAAGAUUCCGGGCCCUACGGGGCGCAGCAGGCGCGAAACCUUUACACUGCACGACAGUGCGAUAGGGGGAUCCCAAGUGCACAGGCAUAGCGCCUGUGCUUUUCGGUACCCUAAGGCGGUACCAGAAUAAGGGCUGGGCAAGACCGGUGCCAGCCGCCGCGGUAAUACCGGCAGCCCAAGUGAUGGCCGAUCUUAUUGGGCCUAAAGCGUCCGUAGCUGGCCGCGCAAGUCCAUCGGGAAAUCCACCUGCUCAACAGGUGGGCGCCCGGUAGAAACUGCGUGGCUUGGGACCGGAAGGCGCGACGGGUACGUCCGGGGUAGGAGUGAAAUCCCGUAAUCCUGGACGGACCGCC